GACGAACGCUGGCGGCGUGCUUAACACAUGCAAGUCGAACGGAAAGGCCCUGCUUUUGUGGGGUGCUCGAGUGGCGAACGGGCGAGUAACACGUGAGUAACCUGCCCUUGACUUUGGGAUAACUUCAGGAAACUGGGGCUAAUACCGGAUAGGAGCUCCUGCUGCAUGGUGGGGGUUGGAAAGUUUCGGCGGUUGGGGAUGGACUCGCGGCUUAUCAGCUUGUUGGUGGGGUAGUGGCUUACCAAGGCUUUGACGGGUAGCCGGCCUGAGAGGGUGACCGGCCACAUUGGGACUGAGAUACGGCCCAGACUCCUACGGGAGGCAGCAGUGGGGAAUAUUGCACAAUGGGCGGAAGCCUGAUGCAGCAACGCCGCGUGCGGGAUGACGGCCUUCGGGUUGUAAACCGCUUUCGCCUGUGACGAAGCGUGAGUGACGGUAAUGGGUAAAGAAGCACCGGCUAACUACGUGC
rnacentral:rRNA from 1 species